AUGGACGGCGAUGGACCGCCGCCGGCGGCCCCGGCCCCAUCGGUGGCGUCGGUGCUCGGCGACGACGACCUCUUCCGCGAAAUCCUCCUCUUCCUCGGCUUCCCCAACCUCCUCGUCCGCGCCGCCCUCGUCUCCAAGCGGUGGCUCCUCCACGCCUCCGAUCCGGUCUUCCUCCGCCGCUUCCGCGAGCGCAACCCGCCCCGCCUGCUCGGAUUCUACGCCGGCUACCCCGGCCGGUAUCAGUUCGUGCCGCUCCCGCAGCCCCGGGAGCUGGUCGCCCUCUCGCGCCGCCCGGCCUCCCCCUGCGACGGCGCCUUCGCCCGCGGAGCCGAGCGACUCAUCCACUGCCGGAACGGCCGCCUCCUCACCGCGUUCCGCAGCCGCUGGCGCCAGCUACGCGGCGGCAGAUUCAAGCACUAUCUCCUGGCGCCGCUGCUCGCCGGGGAGGCCCCAACCGUCCUCCCACCGGCACCGCCGCCCACCCAUGAGCGCGCUCAAGCGAGAUUCACCCAGAUGUUCCUUCCAGAGGAUGGGGCCCGCGACGGCAUCACCUUGGUGCAUCUCUUGAUGGUCAGCCGAAAAGUCUAUGCCGAAAUAUACGCCCUGGGAUCCGGCGGAUGGGGCGUCCCUGGCACCGCGGUGAUAGAGGUAGAGCACCCGCAUGGCACAACCUUCCUGGAAGAAUUGCUGCCGCCCGUUCAUGGCAAGGUCUUCAUGGUGAGAACCUCUGGGUACAUCCUGGGUCUUGAUUUGGCCACGUCAACCUUCUUCACCCUCGAGCUCCCAGUUGGAGUGCGGCGCAGUUACCUGCUGUCAUGUGCGGAUGAUUCCGGGCUUUAUCUCGUCAGUGCAGCCGGAUUUCAGCUCAGUGUGUGGCUGAAUGGGAUGACCGGUGCCGGCCAUGGCGCAGCUGGUUGGUUGCUGGUGGACACAUUCAGUAUCCGUGAGGGAUGCACACGUUUUGCUGAUCAAAAUCAGACUUUGAUGCCACAAGAUGGUGAUUUUCUUCGUGUUGCUGCAGUCGGGGACAAUGCCGAGUUUGUAUUCUUGGAUUAUGCAACAUAUGGUGUUGUCCUUUAUGUUCAUCUGAGGAGCAGGGUGGUUGAGAAGGUGUAUGAGCAGGCACCAUAUGACCAUGGUAAUGUUCAUAUAGGCCGCAUACAUAUCUCUCCCUUUAUGAUGAUGUGGCCACCUGUUUUCCCUGCACUGAACAGAGGACAUGAUAAAGAGCAAUUAUCUCAGCAUGUUUGA
rnacentral:rRNA from 1 species